rnacentral:rRNA from 1 species
CCAGACUCCUACGGGAGGCAGCAGUGGGGGAUAUUGCACAAUGGGGGGAACCCUGAUGCAGCGACGCCGCGUGGGUGAAGAAGCGCCUCGGCGCGUAAAGCCCUGUCAGCAGGGAAGAAAAUGACGGUACCUGAAGAAGAAGCCCCGGCUAACUACGUGCCAGCAGCCGCGGUAAUACGUAGGGGGCAAGCGUUAUCCGGAUUUACUGGGUGUAAAGGGGGCGCAGACGGCGAUGCAAGCCAGGAGUGAAAGCCCGGGGCCCAACCCCGGGACUGCUCUUGGAACUGCGUGGCUGGAGUGCAGGAGGGGCAGGCGGAAUUCCUGGUGUAGCGGUGAAAUGCGUAGAUAUCAGGAGGAACACCGGUGGCGAAGGCGGCCUGCUGGACUGCAACUGACGUUGAGGCCCGAAAGCGUGGGGAGCAAACAGGAUUAGAUACCCCAGUA